CCACUAGGCAAGUGCAAUGACAAAAGAAACAAGCGUUAAUCCUGUCUAGCCAGAGCACUAAGGAACCUGCUUAUUCUGCGAAUGCCUCAGCAAGGUCCUAAAGGAGAGCUUCCACUGCCUCCUAGUUUGCAAAUGAUUUCCAAAUAUAAUUUCUCAUCGGAAUCUCACAACCACCAAAUACGACCAGGCAUUAUUCAUCUGAUUUUACAGAUGAGGAAAUCAAGGGUCAGAGAAGUGAUGUGACUUGCCCAAGGCCCACAGAUGGUAGGUGGCAAAGCCAGGACUUGGAAUCCAAGAUAAAGAAAACUCAGUGGGAAGGAGAAGUUUGUGAUUAAAUCCAAUUAAAGGAAUAGAGUAAAAUAAAGAACACAGUAAAUUUCUCACCAGGAA
ensembl:lncRNA novel transcript